UAUCCUUCAAAAAUUCCAAAGAAAUGAAGUCCCCUGUGAUUGAAAUCCAUCAUAGUUCAAAUAAUUCUCUUCUUCUAAUGAUUCCAAAUUAGGCAUUUGCAGUGGUGAUGGUUGUGGUGACGAUGGUGGUGGUAUAAAAAAUUCACCCGAUAAGUCAUCGAACCCCGGAAAAAUUCCAAAAUCAGACAUAUCAUUAACCGUUCCUAACGACGAAAACAUGUCAACAAAUCCGUUAUCCAAGGACAUUUCCGUCUUUUCACUUUCCACUCUAGACUCCACCCGAUACACAUCGAUAAAAUCGUUACCCAAGGUUAUUUCCGUCUUUUCACUUUCUACUCUAUCGGAAACUGACACCGACGGUGAUUCCGCUCGAAAUAUUUCCGAUGAGGAAGAAGAAAGAUCCGAAUUCUCCCUUGGCCCGACCCGGAUAAGUUCGGGUUCUGUAUUAUUCGCAAACUGCGCCGCCGCCGAUUGAAUCUCCGACGGAGUCAUCGUCCUUCCGUUCCUAAUCUCCGGCGGAUUUUCCGGGAAAUUGAAAUUAGCCCCUUUACCCCGCAAACAAAAAAGUGCGGCGUCAAAUGCUUUAGCAGCUUUUUCCGGCGUAUCAUAAGAACCCAACCAAAUCCUUUCUCUACUAUUAGGUAAUCUAAUUUCCGAUACCCAUUUCCCCCAUUUCCUCUUCCGUACUCCCCGAUACAACGACGACGAUGACGACUGUGAAAAUUCAGUAUCUUUCGAAUUGGGUUUCACCAUUUUUAAUCAAAUUUUAAAUUUUCUUUUGUGAAAUUGAAGUUAAAUUGAUGAAUCUUGAUGUGGG
rnacentral:misc_RNA from 1 species